UACGAAGGGGGCUAGCGUUGUUCGGAAUUACUGGGCGUAAAGCGCGCGCAGGCGGUCUUCCAAGUCAGUGGUGAAAGCCCGGAGCUCAACUCCGGAACUGCCAUUGAAACUGUUAGACUUGAGGACGAGAGAGGUGAGUGGAACUGCGAGUGUAGAGGUGAAAUUCGUAGAUAUUCGCAAGAACACCAGUGGCGAAGGCGGCUCACUGGCCCGAUACUGACGCUGAGGCACGAAAGCGUGGGGAGCAAACAGG
rnacentral:rRNA from 1 species